rnacentral:tRNA from 1 species
GAAGGUACAGCUCAGUGGUGGAGUGCAUGCUUAGCAUGCAUGAGGUCCUGGGUUCAAUCCCCAGUACUUCUG